UGUGUGUGUGUGUGUGUGUGUGUAUAUGUGUGUGUGUAUAUAUACACACACACACACACACACACACACACACACA
rnacentral:miRNA from 1 species